GAUGAACGCUAGCUACAGGCUUAACACAUGCAAGUCGAGGGGCAGCAUGGUCUUAGCUUGCUAAGGCCGAUGGCGACCGGCGCACGGGUGAGUAACACGUAUCCAACCUGCCGUCUACUCUUGGACAGCCUUCUGAAAGGAAGAUUAAUACAAGAUGGCAUCAUGAGUCCGCAUGUUCACAUGAUUAAAGGUAUUCCGGUAGACGAUGGGGAUGCGUUCCAUUAGAUAGUAGGCGGGGUAACGGCCCACCUAGUCUUCGAUGGAUAGGGGUUCUGAGAGGAAGGUCCCCCACAAUGGAGAUGAGACACGGUCCAAAAUCCGACGGGAGGCAGCAGUAAGGAAUAUUGGGCAAUGGGCGCAGGCCUGACCCCGCCAAGUAGCGUGAAGGAUGACUGCCCUAUGAGUUGUAAACUUCUUUUAUAAAGGAAUAAAGUCGGGUAUGUAUACCCGUUUGCAUGUACUUUAUGAAUAAGGAUCGGCUAACUCCGUG
rnacentral:rRNA from 1 species